AAUCAACGCUGGCGGCGUGCCUCAGACAUGCAAGUCGAACGCGAAAGCCCCCUUCGGGGGGCGAAGUAGAGUGGCGCACGGGUGAGUAACACGUAGGUAAUCUACCUUUGGAUGGGGAAUAACAACCGGAAACGGUUGCUAAUACCGCAUAAUGCAGCGGCACCUAAUGGUGACAGUUGUUAAAGCGGGGGAUCGAAAGACCUCGCGUCUGAAGAGGAGCCUGCGGCGGAUUAGCUAGNGGUAAGGUAACGGCUUACCAAGCGACGAUCCGUAGUCGGCCUGAGGAGGGCGGGUCGGCCACACUGACACUGACACACGGGUCAGA
rnacentral:rRNA from 1 species